rnacentral:rRNA from 1 species
AGUGAACGCUGGCGGUAGGCCUAACACAUGCAAGUCGAACGGCAGCACAGUAAGAGCUUGCUCUUACGGGUGGCGAGUGGCGGACGGGUGAGGAAUACAUCGGAAUCUACUUUUUCGUGGGGGAUAACGUAGGGAAACUUACGCUAAUACCGCAUACGACCUACGGGUGAAAGCAGGGGAUCUUCGGACCUUGCGCGAUUGAAUGAGCCGAUGUCGGAUUAGCUACUUGGCGGGGUAAAGGCCCACCAAGGCGACGAUCCGUAGCUGGUCUGAGAGGAUGAUCAGCCACACUGGAACUGAGACACGGUCCAGACUCCUACGGGAGGCAGCAGUGGGGAAUAUUGGACAAUGGGCGCAAGCCUGAUCCAGCCAUACCUCGUGGGUGAAGAAGGCCUUCGGGUUGUAAAGCCCUUUUGUUGGGAAAGAAAAGCAGCAGGUUAAUACCCCGCUGUUCUGACGGUACCCAAAGAAUAAGCACCGGCUAACUUCGUG